rnacentral:rRNA from 1 species
CUGGGCUACACACGUGCUACAAUGGACAGAACAAAGGGCAGCGAAACCGCGAGGUUAAGCCAAUCCCACAAAUCUGUUCUCAGUUCGGAUCGCAGUCUGCAACUCGACUGCGUGAAGCUGGAAUCGCUAGUAAUCGCGGAUCAGCAUGCCGCGGUGAAUACGUUCCCGGGCCUUGUACACACCGCCCGUCACACCACGAGAGUUUGUAACACCCGAAGUCGGUGAGGUAACCUUUUAGGAGCCAGCCGCCGAAGGUGGGACAGAUGAUUGGGGUGAAGUCGUAACAAGGUAGCCGUAUCGGAAGGUGCGGUUGGAUCACCUC